AAACCCAUCUGUAACUGAACGCUCAGCUCUUCUUAAUUUGCACACACUGCGAGAGUUCAAAGCUUUAGACAGCUUCUUCAAGAUCCAUAAUAAAAUUCUGAGUUUCCCUCCCGGGUCUUAAUCACUGGAGCCCUGGGUUGCACCUGCUCUACAGGGAGCACUAUCUUUGGAAGUGGAUGAUGUGCGUUUGAAUCCCUGGAGGUUGAGAAUGGUGCUGAAACCUGAUGUCCAACUUCCUCAGUGAACGAUACACAGUGGUGAUAUACUUGAAUAUUUUACUUACUGUAUAAGUGAAUUGAAAGAAGACCAUCAGAACCCAUUCUCAGAUUUGAAAGGAGAGCAGUUUUGAGUGAUAUCAAGCCAUAUUUUUGUGUCUUAAUAUCUUUUUUCCCUAAAAAUUCAGUAUUAGCAUCGUGUCCAUGUUGUUUUCAUUUUUGACAAAUUCCAAACAUGCAUGGGAUAUUUAUCAUCCAAUUUCAACGUGUCGGACUGAAUAUGAUUAAAUCAAAGAAGAAAACAAACAAAAAUUAGAAAAUUUCCUGCUGUAAACAGCUCUGCAGAUUCUUUAUCGUACUAUUGAUUUUAAGCAGGUUUCCUCAUUGAUUUCAGUGGGGAGUUUGGUUAAAAAUCAGUAGUAUGAGAUGGCCUCUUGAUUGUACCUUAAAAUUGGUACAAAGGAUUGUGGCGGGGGGAGGGACUUUCUACUAGUACCAUUAGUGUGAGAGUUAGUGGGCUGCAUUCUGAUCACAGUCAUUUCUGUUAAGUUUUCCUUUAACAGAGCAUGCCCCACGCAUGCAGAACAGUCUGUACACACGUAGUUCAUACCUCUCUUUAUGCGGGAGUGAACAGACAACACAGUUGCUUUCCACAUCUUCCUGGAAGAUGGAUUUCUACACAUGCAGGGACGCUUGGGAGAGCAGGAAGGAAGUUUGGUGUCUUGCUGUUUAACAAGAAAAUCACUGCUCUCACACCACCCUUGGAGAACGACUGACUAGGCAAUCACCUUGAAGGAUAGCUAUUUGCAUACAGUGUUGCGAAUACUGGAUUUCUGAACACAGGCUUCUGUUAACUUGUUCCUUCUAUUUCAAUAAAAG
rnacentral:lncRNA from 1 species